rnacentral:rRNA from 1 species
AGCGAACGCUGGCGGCAGGCUUAACACAUGCAAGUCGAGCGGGCGUAGCAAUACGUCAGCGGCAGACGGGUGAGUAACGCGUGGGAACAUACCUUUUGGUUCGGAACAACACGGGGAAACUUGUGCUAAUACCGGAUAAGCCCUUACGGGGAAAGAUUUAUCGCCGUAAGAUUGGCCCGCGUCUGAUUAGCUAGUUGGUGAGGUAAUGGCCCACCAAGGCGACGAUCAGUAGCUGGUCUGAGAGGAUGAUCAGCCACAUUGGGACUGAGACACGGCCCAAACUCCUACGGGAGGCAGCAGUGGGGAAUAUUGGACAAUGGGGGCAACCCUGAUCCAGCCAUGCCGCGUGAGUGAUGAAGGCCCUAGGGUUGUAAAGCUCUUUUGUGCGGGAAGAUAAUGACGGUACCGCAAGAAUAAGCCCCGGCUAACUUCGUGCCAGCCGCCGCCGUAACAC